rnacentral:rRNA from 1 species
UGGGGAAUUGUUCGCAAUGGGCGCAAGCCUGACGACGCAACGCCGCGUGGAGGAUGAAGGUCUUCGGAUUGUAAACUCCUGUUGCCCGGGACGAAAUGUUCAGACCUAAUACGUCUGAGUUUGACGGUACCGGGUGAGGAAGCCCCGGCUAACUCUGUGCCAGCAGCCGCGGUAAUACAGAGGGGGCAAGCGUUGUUCGGAAUUACUGGGCGUAAAGGGCGCGUAGGCGGCCCUCUAAGUCGAACGUGAAAUCCCUGGGCUCAACCCAGGAACUGCGUCCGAGACUGGGGGGCUAGAAUCCGGGAGAGGGAUGUGGAAUUCCAAGUGUAGCAGUGAAAUGCGUAGAUAUUUGGAGGAACACCGAUGGCGAAGGCAGCCCCCUGGGCUAACACUGACGCUCAUGCACGAAAGCGUGGGGAGCAAACAGGAUUAGAUACCCCUGUAGAGCGGGCUGGCAAGGCGCAU